UUAAAAAUGAAUAUUUUGCCGUAGACAGUAGGUGCAUUGCUUAAUAUCCUACCGAGGUUUUGUAUAAAUGAAGCGAUAUGCAAAAGUUGCAUGUUAUAUAAAGCUUUUAAAAACAAAAGACCUCUUUAGUCUAUGGACCUAAGGGGUCUUUGUUUUUAUCA
rfam:Clostridium aceticum strain DSM 1496, complete genome.